UACGGAGGGUGCGAGCGUUAUCCGGAAUUACUGGGUUUAAAGGGUGCGUAGGCGGCGCUGUAAGUCAGGAGUGAAAGUUUGCGGCUCAACCGUAAAAUUGCUUUCGAUACUGCGGUGCUGGAAUUAGGAUGAGGUCAGCGGAAUGUGGCAUGUAGCGGUGAAAUGCAUAGAUAUGCCAUAGAACACCAAUUGCGAAGGCAGCUGGCUAGACCUGGAUUGACGCUGAGGCACGAAAGCGUGGGGAGCGAACAGG
rnacentral:rRNA from 1 species